CGUCAAUUAACGAGUGACUUCUGCUGCUUGGUUACAGCUGUUCGGUUUGUUCAGUUGACAUUCGAGCGGUAAUCAAAGCUGACGAUAUCGCUUAAGUUUUAGUGAGUACAAAGUGAAUAAAUAUUAAAGUCGAUUGAGGUUUCUUCUCGGAGCGAUUCUACACGUAUUUUUUUUGGGGUUUUUGUUUCCCUUGCCGCCUAACUCAGUUCUGCGCUUCUUUGUUGCCAUUGGAGAGCGUGGUUAUGCCAACAGCUGAUGGAUAGUCGCUUCAGUUUUCACUUUCUGCUAAUUUAUGCUAAUUGGCGUUUUUGUUAGCCGGAACACGUUUCGAUUACUUUGGACAAAACAGUGGCGUUGUAUAAGUAAUACAGGUUUCUAGAAAAUUUAUAUUUUGUGCUUAAAAACAGACAUACAUUAUUAAUAAACAAAUUGGCCCGAAGUAAGAGUUGCAUAAUUUAUUGUUAAUUUAAAUCGCCAAAAUGCGCCUCCCAUCAUGCUUUGAAAGUGCUAAAAAACCGCAGCUGCUCAAAAAAUUGCCAAAAAUCAAAAUGUGUGAUGAAUUCGCCAUAAAACCGAUAUUCAUUCGCAAGCAACCUAAAUUUCCGACGCGUGAGCGCCACAUGGCUAUCCGUCGCAAAAAAUCGACGAUGACACCAAUGCGUGAUGGAUAUCAAAAUCUGAAUAGCCUCAACACCAGACAACAGCUUUGCCAAAACAAAACAAAAGAAAAUAAUAAAAACAUAACAAG